rnacentral:rRNA from 1 species
CCCUUAGAUGUUGUGGGCCGCACGCGUGCUACACUGAGUGGAUCAGCGGGUCAGGUUGCGCGAAAGCGUUUCCUAAUCUUUAAAUCCGCUCGUGAUGGGGAUUGACGGUUGCAAUUUUCUGUCAUGAACGAGGAAUACCUUGUAAGCGCGGGUCAUCAUCCCGCGCUGAAUACGUCCCUGCCCUUUGUACACACCGCCCGUCGCUCCUACCGAUUGAGUGGUCCGGUGAGGCUUUGGGAUCUGAGCGGAAAGAGCGUUUCGCUGUUUCUGCUCGGAAAACUCAGUCGAACCUUAUCAUUUAGAGGAAGGAGAAGUCGUAACA